rnacentral:snoRNA from 1 species
CUUCGGUGAUGACAUGAUGACGAGUCAGAAGGGGUGUCCUUGUGUCAUUGCAGCCCGUUCAGCACCAUGUUCUGUGGUGCUGUGCUCAGGCUGCCUUGGGCAGGGUGUCCUCACUCAUUGGAUGAUUUGGAGGCAUUUGUCUGAGAAGG